rnacentral:hammerhead_ribozyme from 1 species
AUCCAGCUGACAAGUCCCAAAUGGGACGAAACGUACGUCCUGGAU